rnacentral:rRNA from 1 species
AUACGUAGGUGACAAGCGUUAUCCGGAUUUACUGGGCGUAAAGGGCGUGUAGGCGGUCUUGCAAGUCAGAAGUGAAAUUCCUGAGCUCAACUCGGGCGCUGCUUCUGAAACUGCAGGACUUGAGUGCUGGAGGGGAUAGCGGAAUUCCUAGUGGAGCGGUAAAAUGCGCAGAUAUUAGGAAGAACACCGGUGGCGAAGGCGGCUAUCUGGACAGUAACUGACGCUGAGGCGCGAAAGCGUGGGGGGCAAACAGGAUUAGAUCCCUGGGUAGUCCACGCCGUAAACGAUGAAUACUAGGUGUAGGGGGUAUCGACUCCCUCUGUGCCGCAGUUAACACAAUAAGUAUUCCGCCUGGGGAGUACGGCCGCAAGGUUGAAACUCAAAGGAAUUGACGGGG